rnacentral:lncRNA from 1 species
GCUCUACGGAAGCAGACUGAGACACUGCAGGGGGGUGGAGGGAGGGAGGGAGAGGCUGUUUAAUACUACCAUGCUCUACGGAAGCAGACUGAGACACUGCAGGGGGGUGGAGGGAGGGAGGGAGGGAGGGAGGGAGAGGCUGUUUAAUACUACCAUGCUCUACGGAAGCAGACUGAGACACUGCAGGGAGGGAGGGAGGGAGGGAGGGAGGGAGAGGCUGCUUAAUACUACCAUGCUCUACGGAAGCAGACUGAGACACUGCAGGGGGGUGGAGGGAGGGAGGGAGAGGCUGUUUAAUACUACCAUGCUCUACGGAAGCAGACUGAGACACUGCAGGGGGGGGGAGGGAGGGAGGGAGAGGCUGUUUAAUACUACCAUGCUCUACGGAAGCAGACUGAGACACUGCAGGGGAGGGAGGGAGGGAGGGAGGGAGAGGCUGUUUAAUACUACCAUGCUCUACGGAAGCAGACUGAGACACUGCAGGGGAUGGAUGGAGAGGCUGUUUAAUACUACCAUGCUCUACGGAAGCAGACUGAGACACUGCAGGGGAUGGAUGGAGAGAUGGAUGGAUGGAUGGAUGGAUGGAUGGAUGGAUGGAUGGAGAGAUAGAUAGAGAGAUAGAUGGGAAUGUGUGUUAUUUGAUUGAAUCCCAGCCACAGACUCAGAGAAUCAACAAAGGCAUUGUGGAGAAGCGCAUUACCCUAAACUAUUGAAGGUCAUUACCCUAAACUAUUGAAGGUCAUUACCCUUAACUAUUGAAGGUCAUUACCCUUAACUAUUGAAGGUCAUUACCCUUAACUAUUGAAGGUCAUUACCCUUAACUAUUGAAGGUCAUUACCCUUAACUAUUGAAGGUCAUUACACUAAACUAUUGAAGGUCAUUACCCUAAACUAUUCCACUAUACUUCCCACAAAAUACUGGAUUGGGGGUCGGUCACAGUACAACAAUACCAAAUCAAAUGUAAUAUGUUAUUUGUUGCUUUAUGCAGUAAUUUAUCAAAUGAGAAAUAAAGUACAUUAUAAACCUCUGGUCUGUAAAUGGUUCUGGACAGGAAGUGGUUGGUAUCCGUCAGUCUACUGAAGAGGAAAUGACACGGGUCAGAGAGGGGGGGGGGGGGUGAGGUGAGACGGUCCACCUGUCAGUACGACCCGUCUGCCCUUUAGGUCCCAACGGGACGUGGAGACAUACCUCAUCCAUCUCUCAUCCUGAGACAUCUGGAGACAUACCUCAUCCAUCUCUCAUCCUGAGACGUACCUCAUCCAUCUCUCAUCCCGAGACAUCUGGAGACAUACCUCAUCCAUCUCUCAUCCUGAGACAUCUGGAGACAUACCUCAUCCAUCUCUCAUCCGAGACAUCUGAAGACAGACCUCAUCCAUCUCUCAUCCGAGACAUCUGAAGACAUACCUCAUCCUGAGACAUCUGGAGACAUACCUCAUCCAUCUCUCAUCCUGAGACAUCUGAAGACAUACCUCAUCCAUCUCUCAUCCCGAGACAUCUGAAGACAUACCUCAUCCAUCUCUCAUCCUGAGACAUCUGGAGACAUACCUCAUCCAUCUCUCAUCCUGAGACAUCUGGAGACAUACCUCAUCCAUCUCUCAUCCCGAGACAUCUGAAGACAUACCUCAUCCAUCUCUCAUCCCGAGACAUCUGAAGACAUACCUCAUCCAUCUCUCAUCCUAUUUCAGUCUCCAUACUUCCCACUGAGCCAAUAACACUACAACACCAGACCCCCAACCACAACUAAACAUACACCCCCCCCCCCAAUAACACUACAACACCAGACACCCCCCCAAUAACACUACAACACCAGACCCCCAACCACAACUAAACAUACCCCCCCCAAUAACACUACAACACCAGACCCACCCCCCCCAAUAACACUACAACACCAGACCCACCCCCCCAAUAACACUACAACACCAGACCCCCCCCCCCCCAAUAACACUACAACACCAGAC